AGUACCAUUGGAGAUAUUCGAUAAAAUUGGAAUGAUACAAAAAAGAUUAACAUGGCUUCUAUGCAAGGAUGACACGUGCAAAUUGAAAUCCUAGUUGAU